CCCUUAGAUGCUCUGGGCCGCACGCGCGCUACACUGGUCGAUGCAACGAGUUUCUUUCCUUGGCCGACAGGCCUGGGCAAUCUUUGAACAUCGAUCGUGAUCGGGAUAGGUUCUUGUAAUUUUUGAUCUUAAACGAGGAAUUCCUAGUAAACGCAAGUCAUCAGCUUGCAUUGAUUACGUCCCUGCCCUUUGUACACACCGCCCGUCGCACCUACCGAUUGAAUGGUCCGGUGAAAUCUCCGGACUGGCGUGAGUCGGAGCAAUCUGACAAACGCCGGAAAGUUGAUUAAACCUUACCAUUUAGAGGAAGGUGAAGUCGUAACA
rnacentral:rRNA from 1 species